rnacentral:ncRNA from 5 species
CCCGCUGUACGACCAGCGGUAGCCUAGGAAGGCAAUCAUCGUUGGUAACGACGUUGGUUGAAGCCCUUCCGACAACGUAGUCCGAAAGUGUGCCCCGUCGCGAGACGUGGCAUAGACGCUCCGAGCAGCGAUGGGGCUGAGACG